UCCCUGGAGGACUAGUGGUUAGUCCUCAUUGUGCUCAUCACCACGGCCCGGGUUCGAUUCCCAGCCGGGGAA